rnacentral:lncRNA from 1 species
GGCUUAUUCCAGGAAUGUUUUCAUUUUUCUUUCUAAGGUCAACCUGAUCACACUGCCGAGGCUACAAGCACACAAAGGCUGCAGGCACAUAAACAAAAGAUGAAAAAACAGACUCCCGGGCAGAGAAAACAGGGUCAGAGGUGUUGCCGUGCCUGUGAGGCCUUUGCUGGCCGCCUGCGUUCCGGUGGCAGCCAGUGACCGUCCUGCACCUUCCUGCCGACUGCAGAGACCUCAGGCCACCCUUGGCUCUGACCUGUGUUUCCCAGGCUGCCUCUGCACCUGCCUGCUAAAGCCUUCCUCGGUUUCCUUUGGUUACCAGAGUGAAGGGGUAAGACUCCAGGCACCCGGCUUGAAGACACAUUGGCCCGGAGUAAACGCUGUUCUGCCAACUGCGGGUGUUGCAGCCAAUUCCUUUCUAAUCCUUAAUUUCCUUGUCUGUAUGAAGGACAGUCAUGGAAGUUGCAUGAGACAUGCAUCCAAUGUUUGCCACAGAGGAAGUCCUCUGCAGGCAUUAACUCUCAUGUUAUUAAAGCGCCUGCCAUUUUAUGGUGACUUCCUCUUUUCACAUUAAUCUGUCUUAUUCUGCUAUCAUCCUUUUCAUGUUACAAACCUGAAAGCUAAUAAAAGAUUACCAAUUCCACUACAGUAUAUAUUCUAUCCUUGGGUCUUUUAUUUUGGCAUAGUCUAAAGCACUGUGCAGCACAUAGAAGUGUCCAAUAAAUCUUUGGCAAAUUAAAGAGAUUGAAGUAUUAAUAGCAUUAACAUUCAUUCUGUAUUUUCUUUGUGCUGGGCCCCGUCCUAAGUGUUUUACAUGCUUGAACUCCUUUAAUCUUUACUAACCGUCUUGAAACGUAAGUACUGUAUGAAUGAAAUACAUUUUUGAUGAAUUAAAAGAAUGCCGUUUUUGUUGCCAUAGCAACACGGGUCUGAAAAUAUGAAUCCAAGUUUAGAAGCCGUAAUCAUUGUUUUCUGCCUCAGUUUUAAUGUGCUGUUGAAGGUAUUUAUAUGAAAAUAGCUACAGCAAGGGACCUGCCCCCAGGGCGAUUUUUAUCAUCGAUGUCAUUGCUUCCCAAGAUUGAAAGCGGUUGUUCUAAAAUCUGGAUCCCCAAAAUCUGGUAGGGCAGCAUUUCGUGAACUAAGGCACCCAGACCCAGGAGGUCCUUGGUAACAUUUCAGAGACCUGUAAAACCAAAGGAGGAAAGUUGGUAGGUAUUUAGGAAGUUGGGUUUGGAUUCAAUUGUUAAACAACUUAAAACAUUAGUUUCUAGUGAAA